GAUGAACGCUGGCGGCGUGCCUAAUACAUGCAAGUCGAGCGAACAGACGAGGAGCUUGCUCCUCUGACGUUAGCGGCGGACGGGUGAGUAACACGUGGAUAACCUACCUAUAAGACUGGGAUAACUUCGGGAAACCGGAGCUAAUACCGGAUAAUAUAUUGAACCGCAUGGUUCAAUAGUGAAAGACGGUUUUGCUGUCACUUAUAGAUGGAUCCGCGCCGCAUUAGUUAGUUGGUAAGGUAACGGCUUACCAAGGCAACGAUGCGUAGCCGACCUGAGAGGGUGGUCGGCCACACUGGAACUGAGACACAGUCCAGACUCCUACGGGAGGCAGCAGUAGGGAAUCUUCCGCAAUGGGCGAAAGCUUGACGGAGCAACGCCGCGUGAGUGAUGAAGGUCUUCGGAUCGUAAAACUCUGUUAUUAGGGAAGAACAAAUGUGUAAGUAACUAUGCACGUCUUGACGGUACCUAAUCAAAAAGCCACGGCUAACUACGUG
rnacentral:rRNA from 1 species